UACGUAGGGAGCAAGCGUUGUCCGGAAUCAUUGGGCGUAAAGAGCGCGUAGGCGGCCGUGUAAGUCCGCUCUGAAAGUCAAAGGCUCAACCUUUGAAAGCGGGUGGAUACUGCACGGCUAGAGUCCGGAAGAGGCGAGUGGAAUUCCUGGUGUAGCGGUGGAAUGCGCAGAUAUCAGGAGGAACACCAACGGCGAAGGCAGCUCGCUGGGACGGUACUGACGCUGAGGUGCGAAAGCGUGGGGAGCAAACAGG
rnacentral:rRNA from 1 species